GCUUACGGCCAUACCAGGCCAAGAACGCCCGAUCUCGUCUGAUCUCGGAAGCUAAGAAGGCUUGGGCCUGGUUAGUACUUGGAUGGGAGACCUCCUGGGAAUACCAUGUGCUGUAAGCU
ensembl:rRNA 5S_rRNA 5S ribosomal RNA